rnacentral:rRNA from 1 species
GUCGAGAAUCUUCCGCAAUGCGCGAAAGCGUGACGGAGCGACACCGCGUGAUGGAUGAAGUCCUUCGGGGCGUAAACAUCUUUUAUAAAGGAGGAAAUUUUUGACGUUACUUUAUGAAUAAGGGGCUCCCAAUCUCGUGCCAGCAGGAGCGGUAAUACGAGAGCCUCAAGCGUUAUCCGGAAUCAUUGGGCGUAAAGGGUGCGUAGGUGGUUGGAUUAGUCUCCCGUUAAAACUUCGAGCUUAACUCGAAAAGAGCGAGGGAAACGGUCAAACUAAAGUAUGUGAGCGGUGUGUGGAACUCAUGGUGUAGUGGUGAAAUCCGUUGAUAUCAUGGGGAACACCAAACGCGAAGGCAGCACACUGGCACAUCACUGACACUGAGGCACGAAACCUAAGGUAGCGAAUGGGAUUAGAUACCCUGGUAGUCC